rnacentral:sRNA from 1 species
UUUUCAGUUUGAUGCAGGAUAAAUGGGACCUGGCAGAAGUUAAUGGCAGAGAUGUCCCUGUGGAGACAAUGACCUUCAGUCCCAGGAGAAUUACAAAUAAUAGAUUUAACAACUUUUUACAUAACAGAUGGCUAAUAGAUGGCACACAGAUGCACAGUAUCGUAAUAACCAUUACUGCAUCUUUUCUUUUUUUUCCUUUUUUUUUUUUUUUUUGUUGUUUGUUUGGAGACGGGAGUCUUGCUCUGUCACCCAGGCUGGAGUGCACUGGUGCGAUCUCAGCUCACUGCUCAGCUCACUGCACUCCGUCUCCCAGGUUCAAGCGAUUCUCCUGCCUCAGCCUCCCAAGUAGCUGUGAUUACAGGCGCCCGCCACCACGCCUGGCUAAUUUUUCGUAUUUUUAGUAGAGACAGGGUUUCACUCUGUUGGCCAGGCUGGUCCCAAACUACUGACCUCGUGAUCCACCCGCCUUGGCCUCCCAAACUGCUGGGAUUACAGGUGUGAGCCACGGCGCCCGAUCACUGCAUCUUUGGCCAAGUGUAAAUGGCCAGAAAACUUUUUACCACAUUGCAACAAAAGAGCACAAUGAAGAGUCAAAGAUCCCAGCUGGGCGCAGUGGCUUCAACGUAUAUUCAGUAAAUACAGUAUUCUUAGGAGUUUUUUAAUCUUGUAUUAUUUCUCCCUUUACCUUUUACAGGGAUUUUCAUUUAUUAAAACUCAGUGAUCUAGGCUUCUACUAGCAUAAAGCCCUAUGAAGACAGACUGCCUGCAUCAGCUUUGUAUUCCCACUGUAGGGAUAAUACAUAUAUUCAGUAAAUGUUUAUCAAAUGACUAAGCUUUAAAAUGAUCAAAUAUGCCAAGAUUCAGAUUGUUUUAAUUACUGAUAAUAGAAAAUUGUUCUUUUUCUUCACUCCCCCUUUUAAUCAUUUUUCUUUCCAUCUACUCUCAAAGAUCAUUUGAAACACAGUUGUCAAGAGUGGAAGCAGAAUUGUUAAGAAGAGAAGCUCCUCCCUCGUAUGGACAAUUGAUUGCUCAGGGUUUAAUUCCACCAGUUGAAGAUUUUCCUGUUUGUUCACCUAAUCAGGCUUCUGUUUUGGAAAAUCUGAGGCUAGCGGUACGAUCUCAGCUUGGAUUUACUUCAGUCAGGCUUCCUAUGGCAGGCAGAUCAAGCAACAUUUGGAACCGUAUUUUUAAUUUUGCAAGAUCACGUCAUUCUGGGUCAUUGGCUUUGGUCUCAGCAGAUGGAGAUGAGGUUGUCCCUAGUCAGAGUACCAGUAGAGAACCUGAGAGAAAUCAUACUCACAGAAGUUUGUUUUCCGUGGAGUCUGAUGAUACAGACACAGAAAAUGAGAGAAGAGAUAUGGCAGGAGCAUCUGGUGGGGUUGCAGCUCCUUUGCCUCAAAAAGUCCCUCCCACAACGGCAGUAGAAGCGACAGUAGGAGCAUGUGCAAGUUCCUCAACUCAGAGUACCCGAGGUGGUCAUGCAGAUAAUGGAAGGGAUGUGACAAGUGUGGAACCCCCAAGUGUGAGUCCAGCACGUCACCAGCUUACAAGUGCACUCAGUCGUAUGACUCAGGGGCUACGCUGGGUACGUUUUACAUUAGGACGAUCAAGUUCCGUAAGUCAGAACCAGAGUCCUUUGAGACAACUUGAUAAUGGGGUAAGUGGAAGAGAAGAUGAUGAUGAUGUUGAAAUGCUAAUUCCAAUUUCUGAUGGAUCUUCAGACUUUGAUGUGAAUGACUGCUCCAGACCUCUUCUUGAUCUUGCCUCAGAUCAAGGACAAGGGCUUAGACAACCAUAUAAUGCAACAAAUCCUGGAGUAAGGCCAAGUAAUCGAGAUGGCCCCUGUGAGCGCUGUGGUAUUGUCCACACUGCCCAGAUACCAGACACUUGCUUAGAAGUAACACUGAAAAACGAAACGAGUGAUGAUGAGGCUUUGUUACUUUGUUAGGUACUAAUCACAUAAGGGAGAUUGUAUACAAGUUGGAGCAAUAUCCAUUUAUUAUUUUGUAACUUUACAGUUAAACUAGUUUUAGUUUAAAAAGAAAAAAUGCAGGGUGAUUUCUUAUUAUUAUAUGUUAGCCUGCAUGGUUAAAUUCGACAACUUGUAACUCUAUGAACUUAGAGUUUACUAUUUUAGCAGCUAAAAAUGCAUCACAUAUUCAUAUUGUUCAAUAAUGUCCUUUCAUUUGUUUCUGAUUGUUUUCAUCCUGAUACUGUAGUUCACUGUAGAAAUGUGGCUGCUGAAACUCAUUUGAUUGUCAUUUUUAUCUAUCCUAUGUUAAAUGGUUUGUUUUUACAAAAUAAUACCUUAUUUUAAUUGAAACGUUUAUGCUUUUGCCAACACAUCUUGUAACUUAAUAUACUAGAUGUUAAGGUUGUUAAUGUACAAAAAAAAAACACCCUUAUACUCACCUGCGUUUUCAUUUGUUUGACAUUUGUCUAUUAUUGGAUUUCAUUAUCAUAUGAACUUGUCAAUGGGAAACAAACUGUCUAAAAAUUUUUCUCUUACGUUUAACAUACAAUCAUGUGAAAUUUAGGCAGAGUUCGAUAAAUUACUGGCAAAAACAAAACUCUUUUAUAAAGAUUUUCUAAUGUUGACUUUAAUACUCUAACAUGGUACAAACCAAAUGGUAAAAUCCCAAGUCAUUUCUUUUUUCAUCUCUAUUUAGCAACAGAAUUAAGUGGAUGAAGAUAUUCUACUAUGCAUUAAAUCUUGAACUUUAUAAAACAUGUACAAAAAUUGUACAAGAUAAGUUCCACCUGGUAAUGUCUUUCCCUAAUACAGGGUUGCGCUUGCAUUGGACCCUAGGGAUUUGCACUAAAAUUAUAUCAAGGUCUCAGAUGAGCUUAGUGCACAAGCACUAUCACUUUAAAUACUAUUAUUUGCUACCACAGCAACUAUAUAUUUCCAUAGCUUUUGGCUGGGGGUGGGGGACGUUUUUAUUACAACUUGAAAUUGCUUUGCUGGUUUCAUAUUUAUUUGUUGUAUUUAAAAAAUACAUUGUUGUAAGAGUGAUUUUUUCAAUAUAUUUUAUUCCUGGGGGGGAUCAUGCUACACUCUCAAAAGAAAAUUAAGAAAUCAUUCAGAUCAUCCCCCCUUUUUAAGUAGUGUGAAUUGCAAAACCCAACAUAUUUUUUUUACUGUCAAUUGCGGUUUAUUUAUUCUUUAGCUGUCUGUUUUAGUAGUUUAAUGAUUAUGAAAAAUGUAUCUGUGUGUGAUUUGCUAUUUAUUAAAUUUUAAGUACUUUGCUGAAUGUCAUUUUAAAGCAUGUUUGAAGUCUUGUGUAUUUGUCUGUGUUAAUGCUGUCAGGAGGAACUGACUAAGAUGUUUUAAUAUGUAUCAAAAAUUAAAAUGAUUUUUUUUAUU